rnacentral:rRNA from 1 species
UACGUAAGGGGCAAGCGUUGUCCGGAAUCAUUGGGCGUAAAGAGCGUGUAGGCGGCCCGGUCAGUCCGCCGUGAAAGUCCAGGGCUCAAUCCUGGAAUGCCGGUGGAUACUGCCGGGCUGGAGUCCGGAAGAGGCGAGUGGAAUUCCUGGUGUAGCGGUGAAAUGCGCAGAUAUCAGGAGGAACACCGAUGGCGAAGGCAGCUCGCUGGGACGGUACUGACGCUGAGACGCGAAAGCGUGGGGAGCAAACAGG